rnacentral:misc_RNA from 1 species
GUAGGUGAACCUGCGGAAGGAUCAUUAAUGAAUUUAUGGGCAAGAUGCCAGACGUGCGCAAGCGCGCGGAUGGAGCUGUUCUGCUCAAUAAUCCAAAUCCUGUGAACUUGUAAACUGUUUAUUGCUUGGUAGGUGUUUUCUGGGGGGACACGAUUGGGGAUUUAUUUCUCCCUUUUUUUUCCUUCCCGGCCUGCCAGCAGUAUUUUAUAAACCAUUUUGAUUGAGUUGUCUGAAACAAAAUAUAAAAAAUAGCUUAAAACUUUCAACAACGGAUCUCUUGGUUCUC